GUGCCCAGUGACCAGGCCAAAAUAGAUUCUGCCCUUGCUCACAUGAUCCCCUUUCCCAAAGGUUUUGCUGCUGACACUGACUGUGGACAUCACAGUCCAGAUCUUCUGCCUUUGAAUAUGGACUUAGACCAGGAAGUCUCCAAGGGGCUUCCAGGCUUUCAACUUGGUCUGAGGCUGUUCUGAUUGAAGGGAUCAGACCCUCACCCAGCUCCCUGCGUUAGCAGCCAUGACAGGCUGCAGAAAAGACCCAGCAAGAUGUAGGCCUCUGACUCAGCACAGGUGGCUAACUUUCCAGCCUUCUGACAUUGCCAGAUCUGC
rnacentral:lncRNA from 1 species